GAAAUGCGAUACGUAAUGUGAAUUGCAGAAUUCAGUGAAUCAUCGAAUCUUUGAACGCAAAUUGCGCUCUUGGGUCAUCCUGAGAGCAUGCCUCGUUCAGUAUCGUUUCUAAAACUCUAAAAAGCUUUGCUUUUUGGGAUAAUGAGGGUCUUGAAAUUUUACUUUCAAGUCCUUUGAAGUACAUUGAGUUUAACUUUCAUAACAAUGUUCCCUCUUUGAUUUCGAUCAAAAAGGCUCAUUAUUAUCGGUCUCAAUGAGAGAUACUUGACCUUUGUGUCAUUUCUCCUCGUUGAUACUCAAUCCGAUAAGACUUGGGAGUAGCAUUGAGAAAGAAGGACUUCGAUCCAAAUUGACUUCCUACGGGUUCGUGGAAGAAUUACUUAACGAUCUGAUCUGAACU
rnacentral:misc_RNA from 1 species